rnacentral:rRNA from 1 species
AUUGAACGCUGGCGGCAGGCCUAACACAUGCAAGUCGAGCGGAUGAAGGGAGCUUGCUCCUGGAUUCAGCGGCGGACGGGUGAGUAAUGCCUAGGAAUCUGCCUGGUAGUGGGGGGUAACGUCCGGAAACGGGCGCUAAUACCGCAUACGUCCUGAGGGAGAAAGUGGGGGAUCUUCGGACCUCACGCUAUCAGAUGAGCCUAGGUCGGAUUAGCUAGUUGGUGGGGUAAGGCCUACCAAGGCGACGAUCCGUACUGGUCUGAGAGGAUGAUCAGUCACACUGGAACUGAGACACGGUCCAGACUCCUACGGGAGGCAGCAGUGGGGAAUAUUGGACAAUGGGCGAAAGCCUGAUCCAGCCAUGCCGCGUGUGUGAAGAAGGUCUUCGGAUUGUAAUGCACUUUAAGUUGGGAGGAAGGGCAGUAAGUUAAUACCUUGCUGUUUUGACGUUACCAACAGAAUAAGCACCGGCUAACUUCGUG